AAAGCUUUAUUGUGGUUUUGGAUGGACUCGCGGCCUAUCAGCUUGUUGGUGAGGUAAUGGCUUACCAAGGCGACGACGGGUAGCCGGCCUGAGAGGGUGACCGGCCACACUGGGACUGAGACACGGCCCAGACUCCUACGGGAGGCAGCAGUGGGGAAUAUUGCACAAUGGGCGCAAGCCUGAUGCAGCGACGCCGCGUGAGGGAUGACGGCCUUCGGGUUGUAAACCUCUUUCAGUAGGGAAGAAGCGAAAGUGACGGUACCUGCAGAAGAAGCGCCGGCUAACUACGUGCCAGCAGCCGCGGUAAUACGUAGGGCGCAAGCGUUAUCCGGAAUUAUUGGGCGUAAAGAGCUCGUAGGCGGUUUGUCGCGUCUGCCGUGAAAGUCCGGGGCUCAACUCCGGAUCUGCGGUGGGUACGGGCAGACUAGAGUGAUGUAGGGGAGACUGGAAUUCCUGGUGUAGCGGUGAAUGCGCAGAUAUCAGGAGGACACCGAUGGCGAAGGCAGGUCUCUGGGCAUU
rnacentral:rRNA from 1 species